rnacentral:rRNA from 1 species
GUGCCAGCCGCCGCGGUAAUACGGGGGGAGCAAACGUUGUUCGGAAUCACUGGGCGUAAAGGGCGCGUAGGCGGCUCGGCAAGUGGUGUGUGAAAUGCCCUGGCUCAACCAGGGAACUGCGCUCCAAACUGCCGGGCUUGAGGGCAGUAGAGGAAGCUAGAAUUCCUGGUGUAGCGGUGAAAUGCGUAGAUAUCAGGAGGAAUACCGUUGGCGAAGGCGGGCUUCUGGGCUGACCCUGACGCUGAUGCGCGAAAGCUGGGGGAGCAAACAGGAUUAGAUACCCUGGUAGUCCCAGCCGUAAACGGUGAACACUAGGUGUGGGGAGUGUCGACCCUCUCCGUGCCGCAGCUAACGCAUUAAGUGUUCCGCCUGGGAAGUACGGUCGCAAGGCUGAA